CUGCACAGGGAACACCCAAGUGUGCUACGUAGCCCCCUUGGCUUUAAUCCUGUGCUAAAUUGAUGUCUGUCCUUUUUCCUCUGCGUCGAGAUGGGGUCUUAUCCUCCUCCACGUAUUCAGAAGAACAGUACAUUG